AUUGAACGCUGGCGGCAGGCUUAACACAUGCAAGUCGAGCGGGGACUUCGGUCCUAGCGGCGAACGGGUGAGGAAUGCUUGGGAAUCUGCACUGUAGUGGGGGAUAACGUUUCGAAAGGAACGCUAAUACCGCAUACGUCCUAAGGGAGAAAGGGGGGGAUCUUCGGACCUCCCGCUAUAAGAUGAGCCCAAGUCGGAUUAGCUGGUUGGGGGGGUUAAGGCUCACCAAGGCGACGAUCCGUAGCUGGUCUGAGAGGAUGAUCAGCCACACUGGAACUGAGACACGGUCCAGACUCCGACGGGAGGCAGCAGUGGUGAAUAUUGGACAAUGGGCGAAAGCCUGAUCCAGCCAUGCCGCGUGUGUGAAGAAGGCCUUCGGGUUGUAAAGCACUUAAGCGAGGAGGAAUGGCUCUGGGUUAAUACCCUUGAGCAGUGACGUUACUCGCAGAAUAAGCACCGGCUAACUCUGUGCCAGCCGCCGCAGUAA
rnacentral:rRNA from 1 species